rnacentral:rRNA from 1 species
AUUGAACGCUGGCGGCAGGCCUAACACAUGCAAGUCGAGCGAGCGGCGGACGGGUGAGUAAUGUCUGGGGAUCUGCCUGAUGGAGGGGGAUAACUACUGGAAACGGUAGCUAAUACCGCAUACCAUCAGAUGAACCCAUAUGGGAUUAGCUUGUAGGUGGGGUAACGUCUCACCAAGGCGACGAUCCCUAGCUGGUCUGAGAGGAUGAUCAGCCACACUGGGACUUAGACACGGCCCAGCUUCCUACGGGAGGCAGCAGUGGGGAAUAUUGCACAAUGGGGGCAACCCUGACGCAGCCAUGCAGCGUGAAUGAAGAAGGCCUUCGGGUUGUAAAGUACUUUCGUUAGCGAGGCGUUAACCACAGAAGAAGCACCGGCUAACUCCGUGCCAGCAGCCGCGGUAAUUC